UUGGCCAAGUUAGAGCCUCAGAGCACUCGGCCGAUGAGUGGCUUCGAGAGAAGCCAGAGAUGCUCUCUGGGAACACAGCUGGAAAAAAGGCUAGAAAAGAGCUUUGGAAAAUAGCUAGAAGACAGAAAAAAGUGCCCGCAAAAUGGGGUAAGGAGAAGGCAUACAGUAAUCGAAACGCUUCCAGCCAAAACCCACAGCUCUGAUCGGCGUUCGAUGGAUCGUUCGAGUGCGGAGCUCGGCAAACAAACUCAAUUCACUUUCAACUGGAACUGGUAUUGGGCUGGGGGCUCUGUCUCUGCUCCGUCUCCGUCUCCGUCUCUAUCUGGGCAAUAUGGCUGGAUUCGAUCGCGUUUCAGUCUGCAGCCGGUUUGAGCCGAGUCGGAGCUGGGCUGUGCUGGGCUGUGCUGGGCGCAUGCGUACGCAUUUCAAUGAGGGGCUCCGCCAUGUGGGCUCCAAGCGAUACCCAGCAUAAUGGCCUGCCCAUCCAUAUGCAUGACAGCCUAUCGUACCAUCUGCCUUGGAUCUAUCUAUCUAUCUAUCUAUCUGUCUAUCUGUAUGCCAGAUGCGGACAUAUCGGACCCUCGGGGUGUACCCACAGUGUUUGCAUAUCAAUCAAGUGUUAAUUGAAUAAUACAGUUAUCGGCAACUGCAGACACAAGAGAGACAGGCACCCACAACGUAGAUUGCAUCAUCAACAAGCCCAUUCGCUGGAGAACCCAUCGAGAGAACUUCAGCCCGUGGAUAACUUUAUUGGCUUCGUGUCGUGACUGAGUGAACCACAACAACCACAUUUCUGGGAACACUCUCACACACACACACACACACACACAAACCAGUUGGCCGAAAACUUUAACGUUUCGUGUCUAGAACUUGCAGGAACCAAACCCAGCCCGCCAGCCAAAAACAAAAAAAAAACAAUCCAAUAAUUAAAUUUCAAAUUCAAUUCCAGAAGAAAUAUUCAUCGAAACCUAUGCAAGCCACAGACUUGAUGGAGAAUCAGUUGAAAGAGGCUUUGCUGCCAACGAUCUGGCUUGCAGCCAUGGGAUGGUAGGAGUAUCUGAGUGCGAGGAUGAUAUCUGUACAGCAGAAGAGGUCAGUAGCUGUGCCCGAUCUUCUGACACCCCGCCCGCCGAUGGACAGAUGGAAUCCGAGUGCGAAUCAGCAAAACUGGUCACCAACCAUAUAUAUAUAUGUAUAUAUAUAUAUGUACAUGUAUUUAGCCGCCUCUGCACCUGUACGGGCAUUCGAUGCACAAAAACUUUCGAUUUUAGUUUGAAAUGUCAAUAGAACUUGAAUUCAUUUAGGGUUUCUGCUGCUGUUGCUGUCGCUUU